UAUGUAAAACACGGCAAUAUACAAGUGU
rnacentral:sRNA from 1 species